CCCUCACUGAUCCUCUGGCAUCUCACGGUAAUUUUGCCCCAUCUAAUAACAUCCUGCAGAGGUUCCCCUUAGUUUUGUUUCCUGUAAACCUUAGCACUGGUGGAAUGAGCUAUUGCUUGUGCAGAUGUUGGCCUCACAUUCAUGGAGAGUGCUCUCAGUCCUUGCUUUCCACCACACACCCUGGGUUUCUCUCACCCUCAGCCCUAAUUUUACUGGUCUAGGUAGCUAUCCUGGUGGGAUGACAUAGACCCUCACCCCUAAGGAGUCCCAGGCCUUAGUCACCAAAUCCUUUUCAGACUAUACCUGCUGUACCUCUCCAGACGCCACCAAACCCAGGAACCGGAGUAGUGAAAGACAUCCCAGACAAGGUCCUUCAGACAGGAAAGGGGAACCCAAGCCUGGAAUAUGUGUCAAUCCUAGUCAAGACAGAUUCUUCCUUCUUCUAGAAUUAAAGAGAUUCAGAGGAAUUGACUUACUACCAAACAGUUGGUUAGUCUCAUAGAUUGAUGGCGCAAAAAUAUUCAUUUCUUGCCCUGGAAAUCAUUUGGAAAGCUAUAUCAUUGUCCUCAAAGAGCUUGUAUUAUGAAGUUGUAUCCCUUAUGAUUGGUGUACUGUCUUAGAGAUCUAAAUACUAUAAUGGUAGUUUUACAAUUAUUUUACACUUUCAUUUAGGACAAGUUAUCUAAGUUUAUGAUUGAUAAUCAUACUCGUGAUUAUUAAGCCCACAUUAGCCAGCAUUCUAAAAGCAGGUUGCUAGACUUGACCUGAGGGCCCUGCAAUGGAGAAAAUACAUGGUUGCUGCUCUUGAAGACAUUGGUAUCUUAUGAGAGAAAGAGCACAAACCCAUUAUGAGCCCAUAAGAAUUUCACAGAUAUAGCAACCAAACGAGAAACUUCCAUGGGCAGAGAGCCUUACAAAGAUCUCUCUGUGGUCUCUGUCUAUCAGAAGAUACUUUUCUAAACCUAAAAACAAAUGCAACUUAAAAAUAGAAGAGCUCAUCCUUCUGCGACACUCAUGUCAGAGAAGGGCUGUGAGAGAGGAUAGGAGGGGCCAAGGCUUACACUCAUCACCUUAGUGGCCUGGAGGAGUCAACACCAGCUAUAAAUAGAGUGUUACUCCAAGACACCCUUUCUGCCCACCAGAUCACACCACAUCCCCUUGACUGAGGGAUGCCCUUUUGCUCAAGGCUGUAAUUCAUUACCAUGACUACCAGGAAGGACAGAACAAACACAUGUGUACCAACAGGAGCCACAUUUAUUUUGAAGAUAGAAAAUCAAUAUCUUUCAUUUUGUGGAGGUAUGUGCAACUGGUUUAGAAAACUUGUAUUCAUGUCUGAUAGGAAAUGUCCAUAUGAACUGAACUUAAUUUACGUUCUAGGCCUGGAAUCAAAAGGAAUGGGACCAUUCAUUUAUUCACUCAUUUAUUCAACAAUCUAUUGCUCAUGUAGGUACUAUGUCAGGUAAAGAGAGUUCAGAGAUUAACAGAAUAAAUAAAUAGAGCGCUUACCUUAAUGAGCUCAAACAGAUAUGUAAAUAGAAUUAUGAUACAAAUUGCUAAACUCUGAUAGAAAUAUGUACUGAGCUUUUGGAGAAAACUCUUAGAUUUUGAUAUGUAACAUGAGUAAGAAAGUGUGCAAUAGCAUUUUCUAAGACAUGGAUAUCAUAAAGAGUGUAAUUUGUUCAGUUAAUUGUCAACCAUAGCCAGGGUUUCUAUAGGGAGUUUGUGGGGAAGGGGUAAGAGAUGAACAGACAUGAGUCCAAUUCAGACUGGUUUGGAAGCCCUAUCUACCAGUCGAGAUUUAUUCUGAAGGGAGUUGAGAGCUUCUGAAGGACUUGAGGGAGAAUGGAAUGAUUAUACUAAUCUUUAAAAAAAAAUCUGGGAACAGCAAAGAAUGGAUCAGAAUGGAUCCCCAGGGAAUUCCCAUAUUUAUGGGAUAAGCAAAGCCAAGAGGAAGACUGAGAAGGAGCAGCCAAAGAAUUAGGAGAAAAUCCAAGAGAGAGUGGUUUUGUGGGCUAGAAAGAGAGUUUAUCAAGAAGUAGGGGAAAACAAGAGUGUCCAAGGCCACAGAGAGGUCAAGAAAGCCAAGGAUGGCGGUGUGUUCACUGCACAACCAACCAGGAAGGAAUUAGAGCCCUUAGCGAAGGAAAGUUCUGUGAAGUCAGAGAGACAGGUUACAGGUAAGGAGAAAAAGCAAAGAGACAGAUGGUAGGUGCUACCUGUUCUAGAAGCCUGGCUCUCAGAGAAUGAAGGUCCCUCAUUAAAGGAAACUACGCAGUUGUGGGGCUUUGAAGUUUUCAAAAGAUGGGGGAGAUUUGAGGACAUUCCCAUGUGAGUGAAAGAUACGGGAAGAAUAUGGGUGAUUAAAGGAACACACUCACACUGUUGAAGACCUGAGAAGGAAUGGGAUCUCUGGUAUGGGCUGGAGGCUCAGCCUGAGACUGGAGGAAGCAUGCCUCUUUCAUUGUCUGCUGGGUGUCCAGGGGAAAGACAGUGCCGGGGUGGGGAGGGUUUUGCUGAAAUUGAACCAUUUUCCUUCUGGAAGUUUCUCAUAUUGUUUGUAAAGCAGGCAGGUGAAGUCCUUUGUGGGCAGGUAGGGGAAGGUGUUGGUGGGCCCAGACCCCUGCAGAAUGAGGGAAAGGCUGUCCAGGAAUCUUGGGAAAAUUCUUGUAAUAAGAUGAGGACUCCAUUCCUUAAAGUCAGAAGGAAAGAGAAAGUCUGGUCUGCUGGAAUCUGUGACAUUGGAAAAGGCAGAUAAUUUCCCAAACAGUCUUCUUCCUUAUAUGAAUUGUCUCUGAGGUUCUGGUGGUCUUAACUUUCAAUUCUGUUUAUCUUCUGCUACCUUAAGUGGGGGGGGGGAAGGAAGUAACUACACUUCAAUUAACUGGCAGUGUGUCAUAGCUGAGCAGAGAUGGCACUUCCUCUCUGUGCCUGAAAAAACAAAGUGACUCAGCUCCUGGUGCAUUAAUUAGAGCCCAGUUUACCUCCAUGAAAAUAGAGUCUAUUGUGCCAUCUUUAUAUAUUUAAACCUUUAGUGACAACGACUCUUGGAAUGGAGCAAAGUGCCAGUGGGUGAGGACUUCAAUAGACUAAUGCACUUGUUUUCUAAACACAUUAGAUAGUUCAAUUCAAUUCAUUAAGUAUUUAUGAAGCAUCAUCUAUGCACCUAUAACUAGCUUGUAAAAUCUAGAUUAAAUGCUCUAGUUUGGUUUGGGGACACAACUAACUCUAUGUCAUCUCAUACCUUCCUCAUCUGUAAAAAAUUUUAAGAUCACAAUCAUGGUAUAAUUCUUAAAAGUUUUGAUCAUUCUUCUUUCCAAAAUUCUUCCAUAAUUGAAAACACAAACAACCCCAGCCUCACUGUAGCUGACACUCUUCACUUUGACCCAUGGAUGAAACGAAGGGUGAGGUUUGAAGAUGGUGCAUGCGAAUGGAGAGGAGCAGAACAAACUCAAAUUGCCAGAUCAACGAUUUCUCAGAAACAAAAUCUGCAUCUCUCCUACCUGAUUUUUAUUUUUUGAAAUGACAGAGUCCCUGGACAGGGAUGACAUUUUUCUUUGACAUGAUUAUCAGCCAUUCCCACUGAGAGCUCUGGGAACUGCUCCUGCCAUUCCUCUGGCCACGGAGGAGCCUGGCUCCUAGCAUGAUGGGAAGCAGUGAUGGGCACAUGGUUGGUGCGAUGAGCACUAAUUCCCUGUAUUUAUAGUCAGGGGAUGGCUGCUGGUGUGCUGCACCAGGUGUAUAUGCACCUUCAGCCCCCAGGGCAGCCACAGUGCUGACUUCUAACCAAGGGCAGGAAUGAAGAACCUUUCUUUCUGUUCUGCUCUUAAGGGUAGCCUGGGUUCUAUUAUUCAGGCCCAGAUUCUUUCAGAUUAUUCACCAUAAAUGAGUAGCUUCUCUACAUAUCAUUUAUCUGUUCAUUUGGGCUUACUGCCUAUUUCUCUAUGAAACUACAAAUCCUGAGAAGAGGGGAUUAGGUCUUUUUUCCUUACUACUGUUUUCCCAGCACAUAGAACAGUGCCUGGUACAAAUAGAUGCUCAAUAAGUAUUUGCUGAAGUAAUUAAAUGAGAAUUCCAUAAAGGGAGCUCAUGUGAUUCUCUUUAUAAUCAUGUAUUUCCAGGAUCUGAAGGUGGGUUGGAGCCUUGAUUUCUGAGCACCUGGAAACUAUGAAGUUCCCUGCUCAGAUGGCGGAAUGAAGAUUUCUGUGCCUUUAGACACAUGGACCUAAGUAUAACCUUUUUUAUUACACCUGCCUCUUUCAAAUGAGGCUGAAAAGACCUGUGAUUAUUCAUGACAUCCUCAUUGGGUGAAUAGUGGGUAUUUUGGAUAAGCCAGUAGGGUCAUAGAGUCACACUUUUGCAGGCUAAGCAAUUAUCUGUCUUGGCCAGUUUCCCCAGUAAUAGAGACUUUAGAGUUAUUUUUUUAAAAAGAGUUUGGCUGAUGGAAUUUAUAUAUGUAUUUCCAGAAUCAAAUCAUGCUCCCUCUUAUUAGGAAAUUAUAAACCUUGUUUUCAAAAAGCAUGAAUUGAGAUUAUGCUUAGAAAAAAACAGAAUGAAUAUGUUUACUCAAAUUUGAUUUGCAGGAUUUUUAAAAAUAUAAGGUCCAUGAAGAGAAAAAUAAUUUAAUAUGGUGAGAUGAAGUCUUUAGGGGUCUUUCUUCUUUUGCUAUCAGACACAGUUUUGCAUAAAUUAUCACAAGUGGGAAAGACCAAUCCUCAGCAACUGUUGGAAACCUAUUUUAACCUUAAAAAGUCCUGGAUAUUGACUUUCACACCUUAUUUCCACAUCCAUUGCAUGUGGUACCUUUGAACACUUAUAAACACCAGCAACCAUCAGCACAGAACAACAUUUGUUUUUACCUGAGCUAAAGAAUUCCAGGACCAUUUUACUCAUUUCCUUCUUACCUUAUUUUACAGCCUUUUAAUUUGACUUGAUGGUCUCUAUUGUGAUUUCCCAAGGUACUUUCUAGAUCCCACUGUCAUUUGAUACCAGAAUCAUGCCUAACAGGAAAGAUCCGGUUGACACUAUUUCUAUUGUACCAUAGUUGUGAAAGCUAUCUCACAAAGAGAACACAGCACUUGAUAUUCAAGCCAUGAUUACAGACCAACAUCUAGUCAGGAGCAUUCUUUUUUUUGAGAAUUUAAAAUACAUUGGGACCAUCUGUUAAGCCUUUACAUUACUGUAAUCUUUCAGAAGAAACUUCUUUUCUUAAAUAAUAUUUUAGUAUUAAGCUACCACAAAGACCUCCAACUAGUCUUGAUUUAACUUUUUAAGCUUUGCAACUGUAAUAUGCUUUUUUUCAUAAGUGUUUUGGUGUGAAGAAAGCUGUUAGCAGACUCUCGAAUGCCACAAUGUUGACAAUGUGGGAUUUGCCUUGUACUGAGGACAAACGGUCCCCAGAAGGCACACUUGGCAAGAAGAACACAGCCCUGUUUGAGUUGUCCUUGAUCGUUACUUGGAAACCUAGUUUUCAAGUCUGACCAAGGUACACAGAUUCGGCAAGAGCCUGAAGGGUCCCUGAUCAGCAAACCAACCCCUUCAACAUUCCAAUGAUAGAGCGAGACAGCAGCUUCUUCCAGUAGCUGUUCAGACAAGUAUUCCUAAAGAUGGGACACCGUGACUACAAACACCAUUUUUAGUUUUACUCAAGUCUGUGCCUCUCAUCUGAUCUGAUUUGUUCUACAAAGCAAGCUCUAUUCUUAUCUCCCAGAUCUCUUUCAACACAGCAAUCUGAAUUAAGCACUACAGAAAAGAGUGUUUAAGACCUUUUCAAAUUGAAGUUCUUCUAAGCAGGUGAAGCAAGCACACCACAUUUUUUUUUCAAGCUCAAAGAAGCCAAUGGAGAUUGAAUCUUCCAUUUUUACAAAGCAGAUAGGGUCCAGGAGACGUCUGGGGAGAAUUGAACUAUUUUAAAAGGCCAAAGGGAGUUUGCUAUUAAAUGAUUAUGCAUUUUUUUUUCUUUUUUGGUAAAAGAGAAUUUUUCUUCAUAGUCUUGCCCCAUCCCUUUUUCUUUUUUCUUUGAUGAUUUGUAAAUCAUGUUUCAAAGAGCAGUCUAUCCAAAGUGAAAAAUAAUUAUAUUGUUUCUAAUUCUGGAAUUUAUAUUACAAACAAUUAUAUAUGCCAAAGGAUAGGGGUGUUUCUUUCUUCUAUACAAAUCACCCUUAGAAGAGAUUGAUCUUCUUCCCUACCUGACCACCCCUUCCCAAAUUCAAUUCAUAUGGAAAAUUGACCUCUUCAGAUGUCAAGGUGUUAUUCUGAAAUCAAUGCAGUAAUAAUAAAUUUCCUAGUGUGUCUUCUCUCCCCUGUUUAGCUUUUGAGGGCAGAUGUUUGAAAAUUAGGCAUUGCUUUAUUGAUCACACAAACUGAGAAUGUAUUUUAGUUCUUUCAUUGGCCAAUAACCUAUAGCAAAGAGCAGGAAUGACCCCCAACCUUGUCAGAAAGAGAGAGAUAGAAGUCUAUGGGAUGUGGCUUCUCUGCAGAGUUUUAAAAUGGGUCAGGAAUAAAUAGUCUUCAUAUCUGAGGGGAUAUCACCUUACAGAUUCUCAACUCCUGAUCAAAACUUCUAGCAAAAAAAUUAGCAAUUACAAGUAAGAUCCAGCAAAUGAUGAUGGUUCUUCAUUUUAUAGCCUAUAUUCAUAGACCUGGGCAGGGAAUUCUCCUUAGUGGGAAGGAACAGAGGCACAGGGGCUUCUGGGUUUGCCUAGUAGCCAAAUUGUAUUCUUUUCCUUUCCUUCUUUUCCUCUCUUCUGCCUUUUCUUCCUCUUUCCUUUUCUGCAUUUUCUGGGAGACAAAAAUAUGGUGAUGAUAGUGAAUAGCAGGGAACUACCUAAAGUCCCCAGAAACUCUCCCAGUGAUGUGGCAACAUGACUUGUCAAAUUCUGUGGAGGUCAGAUAAUAUCGAAAUUAUGGAUUGGUUCCUUUUACUUUUCUCUAAGCCACUCAAAAGGCAUCGAACAGAUCCCUUUGCUAGGAGAUGGAAUAUACUUAGCAGAUUGGGGGAGUCUGACAGGAUUGGCUGAAGUUUUGGGGCAUUUUUGCUGCCUCCUGAGCUGACAUACACUAGUUUGAUAUUUUAAGUUUGGGUUUAGGGAUCCAUUAUUCCAAGAAAGUAGGUCUAAGCUAAUCAGUGUGUCCAGACUCCUUCCUAUGGGAUCAUCAGGGAUGAAAGCAAUUUAUGCUAAUGCAAGCAGAACAAUUUGAGGGACUAGCUGGGAACUCUGGUCCAAUGAUUCCCUCUUUAGUGUAGAAGAAUAAUGUGGAGGGUCAGCCAUCUUACAAUCAAAAGAAUCAUGGAAUAAAGCCAACUUCAUAGAAAAUAAAGCACAGAGACAGAAGAAAUUAGAAAUCAGGUCCUUUUUUUUUAAACUUUUUCUUUCUUUCUUUCUUUCUUUCUUUCUUUCUUUCUUUCUUUCUUUCUUUCUUUCUUUGGCUACUGGGAAUUGAACCCAGGGCACUUAACCACUGAGCUAUAUCCCCAGUCCAUCUUUUUUUUUAAUUAUUUAGAGAUGGGGUCUUGCUAAGUUGCUUAGGGUCUCACUAAUUUGCUGAGGCUGGAUUUGAACUUGGGAUUCUACUGCCUCAUUCUCCCAAGCCACUGGGAUAACAGGUGUGGGCUCUUCACCCAGUCCUUUUUGACUUUUAUGAGUUCCUGGAUUGAACUUCACUUCAGACCUGACCCAUAACUAGUUUUUUGGGUUGUGUUGAACCAAUAAAUUCUUUUGUUGUUUAAGCUGAGUUGAGAUGGCGUUUCUGCUUUAUAUAAAAAAAAAGAUUAUUAAUUUGGAGUAAUGAAUGUUUGGUCAAGGUACAGGAAGAUACACAUGUAAAGAGAUAAAGAGCAUUGAACCUGUACACCAUGAUUGUAAUUCUCUUUGGAAGAUAUGCACGACAUAAGACAUGCCCUUAAUUUGGUCUUCUAAUUAGAAAAUAAAAUCGGUGCAUAGGAAACUAUUAGAAAAUAAUAGACAGGUGGUCUUCAGUGGUACAAAAUCUAACACCUUCAGAAAGGGGCAGAUAAAUGAAAGAGGAUGAGGACUUCAUGGGGGAAGUGGAAUUAAUGCAAGAACCUGUCAGAGGCAGUUGGAUGAAGGAAGAAAAAAGUGAAGGGAGAAACAGGAGCCAGGAGGCUUUGGACUCUAAGGGAUCUUUAUAGCAUUGUGCUUGUCAAAGUUACAAUGCCUGCUGCUUUGACUUAACACAGGAUUCUGCAUAGUUUCUGGUGAUGCGAUAAUAAUAUGCUGAAACAGACUCUCUUUACAAAGAAAACCAAUAUGAGUGCCCCUCUGGUAUGAUUUAUCUCUUUUCCAUACGCAAAGUCUGGGUGAAAUUCAGCUGUCUAGUUCUCUGCUCUCAGUUCUCUGCAUAAUUUCUGCCUCUGAGUUACAGGAAAUUUCUGAAAAGCCAUUUAGAGACAGAUUGUAAUAUAAUGCUCUUGAACAUUCCACUCUAACAAUCGAUAAAGGCAGCACUCACUGCAGAAGUAAUCAAACACAGGAUGGAAUCUAAUAUGCACACAGCUGAUAUUUUAACUAGACCCAAGAAGCUCUAUGGCUCUUUGCUCAAAGCUGUGGCCUAGUUAGUUUUCCUGCCUUUGUCUUAUAUUUUUUAUGUACUUUUGAGGCCAAGUUUUUUUGAAGUAGCAUAUAGUGAUUUCAUUCUAUUUUAGUUGCUCAAGGUUGCAACAAAGGUCAGAUCUACAUAAAAAAUAAGUGUGCUGGCAACCAGCGAAGAAUACAUUAUUCUAGGAAGAAAUAAAAUGGCAAUUGUGACCCUGGAUCCCCUGCUCCACCCUGCUUACACUCCCCUUUUGACUUUUUGAGGAAGAAGACCAAAUGCUCAUGGUCAAUAUGUGCCAAGCAAAUCAGCACUGCUUUGUUGAGAAGAUAAGCUUUCCUAGUAAAAAGAUAUCCUGUAUCACACUGAAUCAUUGCAGAAUGGAGGAGGGGAGAUAGUGCAGGAACAUUAGCUUCAUUCUAUAGAUCGAAUUGGGAAAGAGAAGGAAAACGGUGUUUCUCAGUUCCUUCUUUUCUCCGUCUUGCUUAUGUUCACUUUCCCUUUCUGAAAUUAUCCUCUGUGGAUAUAAGCUGUGAUCAUUAGAUUAAUACUCUGAGCUUAUGCUUAAAAACCACCUUUUGGAGGAUGCUUAAUGCAUCUUAAAUAACAGUCAUAAAUAACAACUUCCUCUGCAUAACAUAGAAGGAAAAGCAUUUUCUUCAGCAUAAUUGUUUUAAACUUCAAGAAAUGUGAAGAAUUUAUAUUAUAAAAAAGAUGAACAGAAGCAUACAGAAGAGAGAUGUAGCAAGUAAACCGAUUCUUCAACUAUUCUAUAGCUUUAGGCAGUAUUCACAGGAUUUGUGAGUAAAGGGACUUUAGUUCUGUCUUUAGGAGAAAUUGGUGUCACUGUGACUUAUUAAAUGGACAUUACUCUUCUCCCAACCCCACCCAUGCCCAUCACCACCUACACACUCAAAUAAUUCCACAAUGGGAAGAAGACAGUGAAAUCUGAGCUGGGGCUGGGGAAGCUCAAAGGGGUCUAAUGAUAGUCUAGGGAUUUACUCCCUGGGAGUGGGUUUAUGGAUAAAUGUGAUUUGCCCCAGGCUACUGAAAGGCCAGUGUCUCAUCAGAAGUACUGAGAUAUUAAAGGCCCAAGAGUUAUCCAGAUAAGCAACUCUUUAUAAAUCCUUGCCAGAGCUAAUCAGGAAUACAAUUCAACAGAUUACUACCCAGCAAUAAGAAAAAAAAAAAAAGAAGAAGAAGAAGGAACUACUGAAACUCAAUACAACAUUGACAAAUCUCAAAAUAAUUAUGCUUAAUGAAGCCAGACAAGAGUAUACGUUGUAUGAUUCCAUUUAUAUAAAUUUCCGGAAAAUGCAUACUAAUCUAUGGUGACAGAAAGCAGAUCAGUGGUUGUCUGGGGUAGGGAGUGAGCACUGGCAAGGGUGGGAGGGAGGGAUUAUAAUGAGGCAGGGGAAAACUUUUUGGAUUGAAUCAUAUGUUCAUUGUAUUAAUUGUGGUGAUGGCUUCACAGGCAGAGUCAGCUGUCAAAAAUGUCAAAUUGUACACUUUAAAUGUGUAUACUUCCUUGAUGACCAACUGUACUUCAAAAAAGCUGUUUGUAAAAUUCAGGUAUAAAAAAAACAUAGACAAUGGAGGAUAGGGGAGGUGACCAGGAGAAAAAUAGACAACUAAUUGGCCAUAUCUCCUCGGGUCAGCCCAGAUCCUGGGCUGUACACUCCCCUCUAUUGUCAACUUGGUACCUUGUUCUGCUGCUUUACUUGGUACCUCUGUGCAAGAACUAAGUAGUUUAAACAUAACCUUUUGGGGGCUGGGAUGUAGCUCAGUGGCAAAGCAUCUACCUUGCAUUUGCAGAGCCCUGGGUUCAUCAACCCCCAGUUCCCCCCACAAAAAAAAAUAUCAUAACUCUUUGUACUGACCUAUUUCAAAACCUAAGGUCACUCUCUUAUUUGGGGCGUAUCUCACCAUCCAAUAAUAUAUAUCUUCUUUCUUGAUAUUUAAUGCCCUUUAUUUGUUGCCAAAAGAGUUUUUGUGUGGGAGAGUUUCUAACUAUUAUCUUCAAAUAAUACAUGUAACUCUGGGAAUAUAAAUGAGUAUCCAGACAACUAACUUGGUUUCUCUAGUAAAUUUGUGACAGAGGUAAACAAAAACAAACAAACAAACAAAAUGAAUAGAAGCAUACAGGAGAGAAGUAGCAAGCAAAUACAAUGAGGGGAUCUUGAUGGGAUCCCUACUCAAUAAAUCAAGUAUAAAUAGUCUUUUGUGGAACAACUGGGCACAUUUAGAUAAGAGUGUGGAAAAUGAUAUGAAGGAAUUUAAUGAGUGGGAAAAAAUUUUUAUAUGGCGACACAUGUAAUAUCCAGAAUGCCUAGAGGUCCUUGGAAGUAUGAAGUAAAAUAUGACUUAGGGACUUAGGGCCAGGAUUUGCUUUAAAAUAGUUCAGCAUAGAAAAGUGAGGGAGACAUGGAACAAUUAUGGCAGAACUUAAUAGUUGUUCAGUCUGGCUGAUGUCUUAUGGGUUAGGUAUACUAUCCUUUACAUUCAAAUUUCUCAUAAUUAAAAAUAUUAAAACACUUUGGUAAAGUGCUUGUCACUUUUUAAAAGGGGGAAUAUGUGAUAUUGAACAGUUAAAUAUUUUAACAUAAAAAAUAAGAGGAGUAAGUGUGAGAGGUGGUGGAUAUAUUAAUCUGCUUGAUUAAACCAUUUCACAUUGUGCACAAAUAGCAAAACUUCAUGUUAUACACUGGAAGUAUAUGCCAUUUUUUAUUUUUCAAUUCUACCUCAAUAAAGCUGGGAGAAAUUUGAAAAUAAUAGUACAUGAUUUUAAAUUAAUAUUGCGUGUUUUAAUUUUUAAAUAAAUUUAAAAAAAACAGGAGAUGGGAAUAAACCAUAGUGAUUGGCAAUAAAGAAAGAAAAAUAAAUCAUCAGCAGAUUAGAAGACAGGGUGGAAAGAAGGUAGGGAGAUGGUGUGUGUCUGGAGCUGCCCAGACAUUGACCUUGCCUCACCAAGUAACCUUGGAGAAUGUCCCUUACUGUCUCUGGGGUUAGCAUCUGCCCCUCUUCUGUCCCCUCCAGGUGUGUGUGAAGAUUAUUUGCCUUAUCUGCGGGGCAGGGAUGGGUGGAGUAUUUUUUUUUUUUUGCAGGGGUGGAGGGGCUUCUUUUAGUGUCUCCAGGCGCUGAGAUGGUGCUAUCCCACACCAGCUGCUGCUGGAUCAGAUGACAGGCCAGCAGCCCACGUUCUGCUCCAGUCCCCGGGGAGGUUUGCUUUCCAGCCACUUCAUCUCGGAAACACUGCAGUUGUCCCUGAUACUUUGAAGGUGGAAAUUCACCUCUGUGGGUCAGACUUUUUACUCCCUGUGGUCCUCAUCCCUACUGCACCACAGACAAGAACCAGGCGACCAGAAAAAGUGGGCUGGCCCACAGAAGCCUGCCCUCUGCAUUUACAGGGCAAACUGUGACUUUGCUCAAGGCCCACAAAUUAUAGGGAAGAAAAGAGUGGAAAAAUCCAGAAAAAAAAAUACCACCCAUAAAAAACAUGGUGUAAGGGAAGAAAGAUGCCUACGAUUCUAGUGGCUUUCAACUGUAUUUAUUUAGUUCAGUCAUUUAUGAAACAAAACACAGAAAUUCCAGGUAUCCCUCCAAAACAAAAGAACCACUAAUGCUUGCUUCUUCUGGUCAGUAUGUAGGGGUUGGUUAAAACCCAAACGUUAGACACUGGCUUGUGAGGAAGGUCUUUAUGGGUCAGAGUUCAGAUAUGAAAUGCCUGUUACAUGCUUAUCUAACUGUCAAAUUGGGAGUCAAACCCAGAGUUAGCAGUGACUGGGAAAAUGUUCAGGAGAUGUUUUUCCUACCUAUGUCAAGGACAAAUUUCCUCCACAAGAGUCCCAUAAGAAAAGAGGUAAAGAUAAUUAUUCAAAUCAUGGCACUGCUAAAAUUUUUCUAAUUGACCUGAGCCCCCCAAAGAAAUUCUGAUUUGGGCUAUCUGGAUAUCACAAUGUUAUCAGGCGUCAACAGACUUUGCCUUCCUUGAAAGUGCUUCCAAUUGUUUCAGUGGCAAGAGAGACUUAAAUCAACACUGGAUAUAGCAAAGAAAACAAACCACUUAUAAACUUUCCCAUACCUGCCAAAACUGGAAAGCUAUAAAUAGGGGGUAGCAAAAACACUGUUCAAAAAUAUUUCUCAGGGAGAAAACAGGCGGAAAAGAGUGAAUAAUUUUCAAAGAAGUAAAGGAUUUUUUUUUUUAAAGUUAGCUCAUUUUGCAACUUGGAAUUUCUGUGGUCAUAAGAAAAGUGAGGAAAACAUUACUCAGCCAUGAUAAUAAGAUUCCUUACAUCCAUAAGAAAGAUAAAAUGUCAGCUUGGUUCAAGCAAUUACAUUGCAUACAAUAUUGAUAGCGUCCCAUUCUUUGUUAUUCCUCCUAUUGCUAGUGAGAUGGGCAAUGUUUUUUCCAUGUUCCUAGAUCUUUUGUGACAUUAGAAGAUAGGCUCUUUUCCUCUCAAGAGAGCUUCAUUUUUCAAGGUCAUUUAACACCUGAACCAUAACAUAAUUUCUGCUAUCAAAUCACACAACUGUAUCUUUAAUCAUGCACUUAGUUGUCUUUCAAGCAUUUAACUCCAUUAAGUGCUCACUAUUGUCUUCUAGGAACAGAAGUCUUCACAGCUGAGCAAUCUUGAGUUUGAAUCCUGCCUCUGCCAUCACUCACUGUGUGACCUAAAGCAAGUUCUUCAACUCUACCUGCCUUGGUUAUCGUGACCUGUUCCAUGUGGUUUGCCUCCCAAAACCUCAUGAUUAAUUGGUCUGGUAACCGAUGCAAACAUUGAAAAUAAAAUAACUUGGAAAAGAA
rnacentral:lncRNA from 1 species